GACGAACGCUGGCGGCGUGCCUAAUACAUGCAAGUAGAACGCUGAAGGAGGAGCUUGCUUCUCUGGAUGAGUUGCGAACGGGUGAGUAACGCGUAGGUAACCUGCCUGGUAGCGGGGGAUAACUAUUGGAAACGAUAGCUAAUACCGCAUAAGAGUAGAUGUCGCAUGACAUUUGCUUAAAAGGUGCAAUUGCAUCACUACCAGAUGGACCUGCGUUGUAUUAGCUAGUUGGUGAGGUAACGGCUCACCAAGGCAACGAUACAUAGCCGACCUGAGAGGGUGGUCGGCCACACUGGGACUGAGACACGGCCCAGACUCCUACGGGAGGCAGCAGUAGGGAAUCUUCGGCAAUGGACGGAAGUCUGACCGAGCAACGCCGCGUGGGUGAAGAAGGUUUUCGGAUCGUAAAGCUCUGUUGUAAGAGAAGAACGAGUGUGAGAGUGGAAAGUUCACACUGUGACGGUAUCUUACCAGAAAGGGACGGCUAACUACGUG
rnacentral:rRNA from 1 species